rnacentral:misc_RNA from 1 species
UACGGAGGAUCCAGGCGUUAUCCGGAAUCAUUGGGUUUAAAGGGUCCGUAGGCGGGUCAAUCAGUCAGUGGUGAAAGUCUGCAGCUCAACUGUAGAACUGCCAUUGAAACUGUUUUCCUUGAGUAAUUAUGAAGUGGUUAGAAUAUGUAGUGUAGUGGUGAAAUGCAUAGAUAUUACUCAGAAUACCGAUUGCGAAGGCAGAUCACUAAUAAUAUACUGACGCUGAUGGACGAAAGCGUAGGUAGCGAACAGG